rnacentral:rRNA from 1 species
CCCGGUGGUAAUACCGGAGGGGUAACACCUCUUCCCAUUCCGAACAGAGUCGUUAAGCCCUCCAGGGCCAAUGGUACUGUGUUGGUAACGACACGGGAGAGUAGGUCGCCACCGGGU